CCUACGGGUGGCAGCAGUGAGGAAUAUUUGUCAAUGGGCGCGAGCCUGAACCAGCCAAGUAGCGUGAAGGAUGACUGCCCUACGGGUUGUAAACUUCUUUUAUAAAGGAAUAAAGUGAGACACGUGUGCCUUUUUGUAUGUACUUUAUGAAUAAGGAUCGGCUAACUCCGUGCCAGCAGCCGCGGUAAUACGGAGGAUCCGAGCGUUAUCCGGAUUGAUUGGGUGUAAAGGGAGCGUAGAUGGGUUGUUAAGUCAGUUGUGAAAGUUUGCGUCUCAAACGUAAAAUUGCAAUUGAUACUGGCAGUCUUGAGUUCAGUUGAGGUAGGCGGAAUUCGUGGUGUAGCGGUGAAAUGCUUAGAUAUCACGAAGAACUCCGAGUGCGAAGGCAGCUUACUAAACUGACACUGACAUUGAUGCUCGAAAGUGUGGGUAUCAAACAGGAUUAGAUACCCUUGUAGUC
rnacentral:rRNA from 1 species